rnacentral:rRNA from 1 species
UCCGGUGACCAUAGCGAGGGGGAAACACCCGUUCCCAUCCCGAACACGGCAGUUAAGCCCCUCCGCGCCGAUGGUACUGCCGGCGACAGCCGGUGGGAGAGUAGGUCAUCGCCGGGA